GGCCUGAUGGUCUAAAGGUACGGUUCUCGCUUCCGGUGCGAGAGGUCCUGGGUUCGAAUACCAGCUCGGGUCA
rnacentral:tRNA from 1 species